rnacentral:tRNA from 1 species
GCACCCGUGGCUCAGCUGGAUAGAGUACUCGGCUACGAACCGAUUGGUCGGGGGUUCGAAUCCCUCCGGGUGCGCCA